CCUCACUCUCACGAGAACAGCAUGUGGGAAACCAGGGAAACUGUCCCCAUGAUCCAGUGACCUCCCACCAGGUCCCUCCCUUGACACAACAGAGAUUACAAUUUGAGAUGAGAUUUGGAUGGAGACACAGAGCCAAACCAUAUUAAGCCUGUUCUGCUGGGACACAGAAUCACUUGCUCCAUCUCAUACAUUGAUGAUGAUUAAUUUGUAUGUGUACCUUCCAAAAAAGAUGGUUGUGUUUGAAUGGAGGCCUUCUGGACAGGAAAAUUGCAAAGUACAAUUAACAUUUGAGUCUGUCUGAGUCAUGAAGAAAUGGAGAUUACUGAAAAUAAUUCAUUUUGGUAUCUUCUUACAUCCUGAGAGACUAAUCUUUCCAAGUUCAUCUGAGGCUCCUCUUCUCCAUGACAACCUCAUCCAGGGAUUUCUUCCUGUCCUGGUGUUUUAUGACAUAAUCACAUCCUUCCUGAGAUAAUGAGCACACAAUUGCCUGGAUACCUGAAGGAAUGGAGACAGCGGCAGAAAACACUGCAGAGAGGUGGAAACAUCCGUUAAUAUUUUAAAAUCCCAUUACUGCUACCAACAAUAAUAAUGGAUGCAUAGAAAUAGAUCUGGAUUAGCUGAGCUUGAAACAGUCCAUCUCACACACACACAAAAGAAUUUCAGAUACAGUGAACCCACAUGUUGAAGCUUUCUAGUAUAAUAAAAAUUUCAACUGUUCUGUUGAAUCAUCUGCCUGAUUGGAGGCUACAGAAAAGAUGUCAUCUUAGGAGUGCUUGCUCUGAGUGAGGCUCAUCUUCAAAUCUGAAUGACCACAAGGAGAUUUGAUUAUACAUGUGAACACCUCAGAAGGCACAGCCCACCCAGAAGGCAGACAGGUCAGGCUGCUUUUUCUUCAUUGCUUGGAUUCAAUCCUCCGGGCGGCUCAGGCUCAAACAUAACUUAAGCAUGAUUAAACUUUAGAAGAAGCUGCCAGGAAGACUGUGAAAUCUUCAUGCCCAAGGAUCCCUAAAAUUAGGAGCAACAACCACUUGGCUCAGACGGUUUAUGGAGGCAAAGGUUUGGAUGGGAUUAGAGAUUUCUAAAUGUGAGUUCGUGUCCUCUGCCAGACCACCUUACUUCCACCAUUCCUCAGCAAAUCAAGAAAAACAGGAGAAAAGACAUGCCUUUCCAUAAGUUAAAUCUAUUCUGUUUUAAUUCUAUAUUAUAUCUGCUGUACAACUUCUUUUGUUUGUAACACCAUAUUGUUGCUAGUAACUGGAAAUUAAUUUUCACAUGCCUCAGCUUAGAAAAAUAAAAAGCAGCCCUGCAUCAAUCCCAA
rnacentral:lncRNA from 1 species